GCUACCGGACCUAGCGGCGGACGGGUGAGUAAUGCUUAGGAAUCUGCCUAUUAGUGGGGGACAACAUCUCGAAAGGGAUGCUAAUACCGCAUACGUCCUACGGGAGAAAGCAGGGGAUCUUCGGACCUUGCGCUAAUAGAUGAGCCUAAGUCGGAUUAGCUAGUUGGUGGGGUAAAGGCCUACCAAGGCGACGAUCUGUAGCGGGUCUGAG
rnacentral:rRNA from 1 species